ACACUGCUUUGGCUUUUUAGGUGUACCAUCCUUUGCUUCACUGGAACUUUGCAUUGACAAUGGUCGUAUUAAAGGCUGCGGAGGCAAGACAGGAGCUUGUUGCAUUGGCAUCAACAGUAUAUGUUGCUGCAAUUGGGGCUGUGGACUUAUCACUUGCGUUGACUUCAUGGACACUGUUAACUGACUAGACUUGAUUACCUCCGGUUGAAUAAUCUGGUUAGCAUGUUCCUGCAAAGACACCGUGAGGGCUUGCCCCGGUACACCACCCGUGAAAUCCAGCUGCCUCGCUAG
rnacentral:misc_RNA from 1 species